CUGCUGCCUCCCGUAGGAGUCUGGUCCGUGUCUCAGUACCAGUGUGGGGGACCUUCCUCUCAGAACCCCUACGCAUCGUCGCCUCGGUGGGCCGUUACCCCGCCGACUAGCUAAUGCGCCGCAUGGCCAUCCGCAGCCGAUGAAUCUUUAACCGCCGAGGGAUGCCCCUCUGCGGUGUUACGCGGUAUUAGACGGAAUUUCUUCCGCUUAUCCCCUGCUGCGGGCAGGUUCCAUACGUGUUACUCACCCGUGCGCCGGUCCGG
rnacentral:rRNA from 1 species